AGCAACCCCAAGAAGCAAAGCAGUGGAUGCCUGAAGCAUAAAGGACAAUGAUGAGCCCUGCUGAAUGCUUUCCCCUCAGAAACAGCCACAGCCACAGAUAGGGACCAAUAAAGCUUGAGAUGAGAAGGUGACUGCAGUGAAAGAGAAUGGUCUGAAGAUCCCUGCGCAAACUGAGAAGUGGACAAACAAGGAGGGGAAGAAACUUGUCAAUUUCCUCGCAGCAAGUUAUUUGUUUCCCACCAAAACUAUUGAUUGCAGGUUGUGGUCUGAGUGGCUCUCAGUGUCGUAUUGUUGGAAGAACCCUGGGGAAGGAAUGACAGAUGGAUCCACCAUGUCCAUAGGAACAAUUAUGGAACAGACCUGCUGCCGUCUCUCCAUUUUUCCUCCCUUACCUGUCUCCAUAAAAGCUUUGUUUUCUUUAUUUUCUAUUAUUCUCUCUCCUGUCUCCCCACCCCCCAACAUCCUAUUCUCCUUCUUGUCAUAUAUCCUUAGUGAAGUAAUCUUUCCUUAUUAUAGGCCCCGCGGAAUUCAAAUCUCUAUAUGCUCUCUUAAGGCGCAUCACCCAUUGAACUCAAUGGGACUUAUUUCCAAGUAAACAUGCAGCAGAGCAAAUGCUUUCUGCCGUGUCUUCCAUCACAUUUUGAACAACCACAGUUAGCUAUACGUGUUUCAUACGUUCUAGUGCUUUGCUGAUAUAAUAUUCUGUGGAGUGAGUCUCUGAAGCAUGCGACUCUUAAGAUGUGAUUACAUUAGCACACUUUGCCUUUCCCAGAGAUGAUAAAAGUGAAGUACAAUAAAGGGGUUGGAGCCCAAUCAUGCUAAUAAUACAUUCACACAACCACUUCAGCACACCCAGGUUGUCAUUCAGCACACACAGAGGUGGUCAUGUGAUGGUUCAGGAAACCAUACAGAAACUGGAUUUCGGUCAGCGUUAUCAAUCAUGCUUCUUUGGACUUUUGUAUUUUUUCUUCAAAUCAUUUCACAGAACACAUGGGUCAGCCCUCUAAAAUGUACCAAAUUCCUUCCCUAUGAUUCGUAAUGAUGCUGUGUUUGUUUAUAAGAGUCAAUACUUAUAACUUAAACAUUGGGUUUUUGAUGGUGUGCUGAUCUCAUCUUAGUUUAUGCAUGAACAGAUUGGGUAAUGGGCAAGUUCAUUCCACAUGUUCCCUGAAACACAUAUUCUGCUGGUCAUGCACUCUGCAACCAUAUGUGAGUACAUGUGUAUGGCCUCUUCACUUGGCCAUCAGACACAUCUGCAGAGAGUAGGGCUUACCAGUAUCAAUGUGUGAAGUUAGAAUGUACCAACACACACACACACACACACACAGAGAGAGAGAGAGAGACAGACAGACAGACAGACAGACAGACAGACAGAGAGCAUUCACUCUGCUCUGUUUCCACCAAUAUGCACAAUUUUCUCUUAAUAUACACAUUUUUGUAACUUGUUUAGGUUGGAGAACUGCAUUACAAAAUUUGGAGAACUGCAGAUUUUCAAGGACAGCUGUAUUGAGGGGCAUGUAUUGUUUCUCGAAGUUUAAAUAAAGUAGGUUCAUGUUACAAUGUGAA